rnacentral:lncRNA from 1 species
CCUAUUAAGAAGAAAAGGUAAUAUGGUCUUCUGGUCUCCUUCAUAGUGUAUGCAGCUCAUUAAUGCAAGUAGAAUGGAAAGAAAACAAUUUACUCUUUUGAUUGACUUUACUGAAGUACACAGCAGAGGUCUUCGAUAUCAAUACAGUCCAUUUUUACUGUGAUUUGUGGUAUCCCCACCUGGCCUUCAUUCUCACUGGAGGGAUGUGCUCCCCAAGAGAAGGGUCUCUG